ACCACUUCUUGGCCUUUUGGCUAAGAUCAAGUGGAGUAUCUGUUCUGAUCAGUUCAAAAUGCCAUUCUCCCAGAGCCACUUUAAGGUGGGCUUCACAGGCACCUAUCUAUUGGGGUAUGUUUGGACUGAUCUCAUCUGCCCUAAUUAUAUUUUCUGUAUUACAAACCAACCCAAAACUCCUU